AAACUACUGUCUCAAUUAAAAUUUUUUAGAAUUUUAUUAUUUUGUAAAAAGGCUAAAAUUAUUAUAAAAGACGAGAAGACCCUAUAGAGUUUUAUAAUUUGUAUAGAAAGGGUAAUUAGAAUAGAUUUCUUUAUUUGUUUAAAUUAUUUGGUUGGGGUGAUUGAAAAACUUAAUUAACUUUUUUUCAAAGAUUACAUAUAUUUAUGAAUAUUUGAUCCUUAUAAAAGAUUAAAAGAAAAAAUUACCUUAGGGAUAACAGCGUUAUUUUUCUUGAGAGUUCUUAUCGAAAGAAGAGUUUGCGACCU
rnacentral:rRNA from 1 species